GCUCCGCACCCAAUCCCCCGUCUCCCCCAGGCCCCAGCCCCCACCGGACAAACCCUAGCCUCACAUCCCGCACUCCUCCCUCCUCCUCCUUCCUCGUUAGCCGGUGCCGCCGUUCUGCCUCCCUCCUCUCUGUCCUACAACCAUGCCGCCGGGAGGAAGCCGCCGUCCGUGGCGCCAUACCCCUGUCGAGGUGCUGCGCAUGCUUCGUUCCCCACAGCCCCUCCCUCAUCCUCGGUCGUCACCGCCGUUGCCUGCUACUCCCCUCCACCACCGUUGCUGCUUAUGGGUCGGAUCUGGCGUUGGUGGGUCGGAGCUCGAGCUAGAGGCCGAGAUGGGGAAGGUCAAAAAAGGAGACCGGAUGGAGGUGCUCGAGGCCGAGGAAGCUGGAGAUGCACAACUAGCUUCACUGGCCAUCCGGUGGUUGCAGCAUGGGGCAACGCUCCAGUCGUGAUGGGGUGGAGCUGCGCAGGAAGGGGAGGAGGCUGGCGACAGGGAACUGGGCCAGGGAGGAGGCAAGCAGCGGUUGCGGAUGUGGUCGGCGGUUGAGGGAGGGUCACCGACUAGAGCAGCAGGAGCAAGGAGCUCGAGGAGGUUCAGGGGCGCCGAGAAGAAUGGAAGGCAGAGCUCUGUGAGGGCAGGACUGCAGGAGCUGACGAUGGUCAUGGUUUGCCUCUACUACAUCGUCUGCCAAAGACCGAUCCAGAAGAUAUGGUUCUUGAUUAUCUAUAGCCUUCCAUGCUGGGCUUCUCUCUGAUAAACAAAGGAGAUGAUAUUGCAAUAUGCUAACCAGCGCCCACCACGAGCACACCGCCAGGAGGAAGCCGCUGUCCGCAGCGUCGUGCCGCUGCUGGGGGAGCCUGCACUAGGAAUUAACUUUGCCCGGGAUGGUAUGAAUGAUAAAGAUUGGUUAUCACUCAUUGGGGUGCAUAACGAUUCGUGGCUACUGUUGGUGGCCUUCUAUUUUGGAGAAAGGUUUGGGUUCAACAAGGAAUCUAGGCAUUUCAUUUGUUAUUUUGCUAAGUGUUUUGCUUGGUGUCAACAACAUUUUUCUGCUUAAUAGUUUCGUGUUUGAGUGUCAUGUUCUUGUCUUUUGGUAGCAUUGUAUUGCUUCUGGUGUACCUAACUUUUAUGUAGUUGUAAACUCUUGCUGAUGGUGUAAUUAAAUCAGACUUCUUACAGUCUUUUCUUCUUUUGUAAAAGCAUGGAUAGGUAAGAAAAAUAUGUUUUUGUUUUAUUCACUGUGCUGUUUUGAAGCGAAGAUUGAUAGCCAGACGCUUGCGGCAGCCGCACAACACGUGAGGUCCAGCCGCAAUAGCUCUUCCCCAAGGUAUCUUGCCCCCUCAUGCCCUCAUUUCUUCCUCUCGCUUCUCACAUGUAUACAUGCCCAAUAAACGUUGUACUGAUGUAGUCCAUCGAAUGUAGAGAACUAAUGGUCAAUUAAUUCUCUCACUCAUCAAUUUACAAACUCAGGAUUUUCUUUCACAUGGGGCUUGGCAUGUUUACGUUCAAUUGUGUGGAUUUUGGUGUAUUGUGUGAUUGUUCCCUGAUUUUUUUGAAGGGUCUGGCUAAGGCACGGUUCUAGCAACAACUAGACAACGACCAACCUGAGUUGAUAGGUUACAGAUGGAAGUUCUUUUUCUUUUUUGAGAUAUAUGCCUACGGUUUCAACUUACUGUGGUAGAUAGUUUUAACAUUAUUUGUGCAGACAAAAUGUGUAUAUCUCAUUUUACAUUGCAACCAGAUUAAAACAAUCCUAUGUAUACUAUAUAAACAUAGAGAAUUAUAUCCACAUCAUGCCUAACAGUCUAUUGUUUCUUUCUGCUUAAAUGAUUGACAUCCAAAGAAGCAAUACAGUCACAUUACUACACUCCAUGGAUCCUUCUCUAUAUCUCAAUAUAAGCACUCUUAUCCAGCUAGGAUUUGUGUUUUUUCACUUUCUAAAAUGGAAAGGAAAAAAUCUGUCUAUUGAUUGUUUUGAAGAUAUUGUUCUUAGUCAUUUUAAAUUGUUGAAUCCUAUACCUAUUGGUUAUAAAUACCUCCACGGAAUAUUUAGGGAUUGAACAAACAAGUAAGUGGAAGAUCCUUUAUAUUUGGAGAUUCGUAGAUCUAUAUUGUCUGUACAAUCAAUCCUCUGCUUUUUCUUAUGCGAGUAAACUCAAUGAAAUGUCUACUAUUGGUGCCAGAUUAAAUUGCCUUUUGCUGCUAGCUUAUACGACAUCUGUUCCCAACUUCUCUCUAAAAGUGUCUUAGUUUGUUGAGAAAAUUUGCCACUUGCUUUUUUUAUUUGCUUGAUAGUAUCCCAAUCUAAAUAGUAUUACUACCGAGAGAAAUAGAACUAUUUUCAUUUCAAUUGUUCAAGACCAUCUAAUUUUUAUUAGAAGGAAUUUUGUAGAUAGGAAAUCUGAUGCUUGGCGGUCUCUGCAAUGCUGUUUAGUCACUGCAGGUACUAAAGAUAAAUGGUUGCUUUUUGAGAUGGCAAAUUCACAAUCUAUUCUGCCUUGGUGUCAAUAAAGGUAAAUUUGGUCCACCAUAUCUUAUGAACAAUGGAAUUUGUCAAUCUGAAGGUGUGCAUCAUUACUGUUCUUGCUUUAUGGUUGCCUUCCGAGUGCACUUUUAUUAGUUUUAACAUAUUAAUUUUAAUAUGCUUGAUUGACCAUAUUAUAUAUUUCACUUCACCGGGGUGGUUGGUGGAAGUGUUGGUUAAAAUAUUUUAUACAGUUGAAUAUUCUUGAUUCACUAUUUUGUAGCCUGCUCUUAGUUGUAUAGUAUUAAUUCUUAAAACUUAAUCACUUAAAAUUAGUUAAUUUAAUGAGUUGUUUCACUAUUUUCAAAUAAGUAGUUUCAGCCCACACUAUGUCCUAAAACUUAUUCUUACUGCCUUUUAUGACUUAAAUGUAACUAUUGGCAUAUAAUCUCAUGUCUUAAAAUCUUAGUUGAGAAUGUACUAAAAGUUAUAAGAUCUGGAGUUUCCACUAUAUUUCAUCUAGCGGUACUCCCAGUAAUUGAUUAUUAAGAGCACAAACGAUCAUAGGAUGUACAUUCAGUUACUGGAAAAUGCUUUUAUCUUGCAGGCCAGUUUUACAUUUACUUUUUCAAUAAUGAGAUGACUAUGAACAAAGUAUCAAGUUUUUUGUCUUGGCAUUACUGCCGCCGUGUACGGAUGGUUAUUGAAAGAAAAAGGAUUCAAGCGGCAUACCUUCACUUGAUAUAUGCUUUAACCGCAAGAACUGUUGUUAUUUUCUUUUCCUUUCCUGCAAUGAUGGUAGUUCGCCUUUGAUUCUAGAAGUCGCAAAGGAGUGAAGGGUAGAGAUUUCCAUUGUCGUUGAAUUGGUGGGAUUGUCACCAAGUUAGUGUUGCAGAUUGUUUCUAUUUUAGAGCAAGAAGCCAAAUCGUUGUUCAUUGUAAAUGUUGAAAAACUUGUAUACUGUCACUUCUAUAUCUAUUAUAAACUUUCGUUCCUGGUGUGGUA